CAUAAGAGGUCUUGCCUGCCCAGUGACCACAUGUUAAACGGCCGCGGUACUUUGACCGUGCGAAGGUAGCGCAAUCACUUGUCUUUUAAAUGAAGACCUGUAUGAAUGGCACGACGAGGGCUUAACUGUCUCCUUUUUCCAGUCAAUGAAAUUGAUCUUCCCGUGCAGAAGCGGGAAUAGCACCAUAAGACGAGAAGACCCUGUGGAGCUUUAGACGCUGAAUCAGCCCCUGUCAAACACCCCCAUUCAACGGACCAAACACUAUGGGAGUACUGAUUUAAUGUCUUCGGUUGGGGCGACCCCGGGGAAAUAAAAAACCCCCGCGUGGAAUAGGAGUACGACACUCCCAAAACUAAGAGCCACUGCUCAAAGUAUCAGAAAUUCUGACCAACUACGUGAUCCAGCUUUACGCCGAUCAACGGACCAAGUUACCCCAGGGAUAACAGCGCAAUCCCCUUUUAGAGCCCAUAUCGACAAGGGGGUUUACGACCUCGAUGUUGGAUCAGGACAUCCUAAUGGUGCAGCCGCUAUUAAGGGUUCGUUUGUUCAACGAUUAAAGUCCU
rnacentral:rRNA from 1 species